GGUAGUCCACGCCGUAAACGAUGUCGACUUGGAGGUUGUGCCCUUGAGGCGUGGCUUCCGGAGCUAACGCGUUAAGUCGACCGCCUGGGGAGUACGGCCGCAAGGUUAAAACUCAAAUGAAUUGACGGGGGCCCGCACAAGCGGUGGAGCAUGUGGUUUAAUUCGAUGCAACGCGAAGAACCUUACCUACUCUUGACAUCCAGAGAACUUAGCAGAGAUGCUUUGGUGCCUUCGGGAACUCUGAGACAGGUGCUGCAUGGCUGUCGUCAGCUCGUGUUGUGAGAUGUUGGGUUAAGUCCCGCAACGAGCGCAACCCUUAUCCUUUGUUGCCAGCGGUUAGGCCGGGAACUCAAAGGAGACUGCCAGUGAUAAACUGGAGGAAGGUGGGGAUGACGUCAAGUCAUCAUGGCCCUUACGAGUAGGGCUACACACGUGCUACAAUGGCGCAUACAAAGAGAAGCGACCUCGCGAGAGCAAGCGGACCUCAUAAAGUGCGUCGUAGUCCGGAUUGGAGUCUGCAACUCGACUCCAUGAAGUCGGAAUCGCUAGUAAUCGUAGAUCAGAAUGCUACGGUGAAUACGUUCCCGGGCCUUGUACACACCGCCCGUCACACCAUGGGAGUGGGUUGCAAAAGAAGUAGGUAGCUUAACCUUCGGGAGGGCGCUUACCACUUUGUGAUUCAUGACUGGGGUGAAGUCGUAACAAGGUAACCGUAGGGGAACCUGC
rnacentral:rRNA from 1 species